rnacentral:rRNA from 1 species
UACGUAGGGUGCAAGCGUUGUCCGGAAUUAUUGGGCGUAAAGAGCGUGUAGGCGGCCCGAUUAGUCCGCUGUGAAAGUCGGGGGGCUCAACCCUCGGAUGCCGGUGGAUACUUGUCGGGCUCGAGUACGGAAGAGGCGAGUGGAAUUCCUGGUGUAGCGGUGAAAUGCGCAGAUAUCAGGAGGAACACCUAUUGCGAAGGCAGCUCGCUGGGACGUUACUGACGCUGAGACGCGAAAGCGUGGGGAGCAAACAGG